AAAUCAGUCAUGCUUGUUUAUCUAUGCUACAAUAAAACUCAAAGGAUGAGAGGACCAACCAGAACAUUAAGCGUGCUCUCAGAAAGUACGUCAACCAGAACCAUGAUGACUGGGAUGUUCACCUUGCUGCUGUGGUGUAUGGCAUCAACACUGCAAAGCAGGACUCCACCCGCCACAGUCCCUAUUUCCUGCUCUUCUAUCGACAUCCACGUCUUCCUGCUGUGAUGAAUGGCUGUUCCAUGGAUGAUGACUUUGAGGUUGCAAAUCCUGAAGAGGACAUCGACACAAGAGUUGAGGAAAUGACAGUUCUGAAUGAAACGAUCUGUACAUUUGAAGGGGGAUGGCUGACAGGGAAAGGAGGUUCUUUGCAACAUCGAGAGGGCACAGGACACCCAGAAGAAGACCUUUGGAACAUGGAAAAGGAAGCAGGUAAGACAGUGUGUUGUUCAAGCAGGUGAUGAUGUUCUUUUGUCAGGUGAUCCAAAGAGACGACGCACUGGAGAUGCAUUAUUGAGCCAACACCAAGGACCGUACACUGUGGCCAGCAUCACGCCAAAGGGGGUGGCCACUAUUGUGAAGGGAGCAACUUGCCAGAAGGUAAACGUGUCCAGGCUGAGAAACUACCACAGAUCAAAAAAUCCACCAAAUGAAAGGAAGUUUCUCCUGGACCACUCAUAUGGGACUCUGGAAUGGCAGAUUGAUCAUCAGUAUGCCAGUCCAGGAGCAAAGUGGCAGAAAGACUUGGACCCUCUUCAGUCCAGUCUGGUAAGGCGCAUUUCUGUGCAGUCACGUUAAAUAUUUGAUGAUGAAUGAGGUGAUACAGUUUAUUAAAUUUUAAUGAAAUGUGCAGAUUGUUGCGGUGGAGUUCAAUAAACUCAGCCG